GCGGGCAGAAGGUAAUUGCACUCAGAGUGACCACACAGGUGCCCGCGCUCCUUGAUUGGUUAAUUAGCGUGAUGUCAAUCAGCCCCCUCCUGCUCCUUCUCGCUGUAGUUAAAAGGUGCGAGUUUGUAAUGAAGCCUGAAACUUCUUCUUGUCCGGCUCGUUAAAAAAAACAGCUGGACUAAAGAGAGGAAGGACACAAACACAGGAUGUCCGAGCUGCACCUGAACGCAGCGCAGCGUGACUGUGACUGUUUGAAAGAAAAUAUGGGAGGUCCAACAAAUGAAUCAUCUGAUUACACCUGAUUCAUGCAGAAGUCGUCAUCGCCUUUCUUCCUGUCGCCAAACUGAGGUGACGUACAUGUGAUUUAUGUCUUUGUCUCGGCGCGAUGUGAAACUCAUCAGAAUAAAAACUCAGACUCUCCAGCCCUGACAGGAAAACUAUCUUUGCUCUCGUCCGGUAAAAAACAGAAACGUUCACAACAAAUAAAAGCUCGAUCAAGUCCAGUUCAACAGCGCCGUGUUGUCCAGCGUAGAACACAUGAAGACCAGUCAAGAGCGUUAGGUCCUGCCUCGCCAAGCAGACCGCCACACAAGAACCGAGUUUUGAAGAGCUCAAAUGUGUCAUCCGAAGUAUCUGGUUUGGCCGCAUCUGGAACGGCUACGAAAAGGUCGUAUCCUCCGAUUGUAGCUGAUCGUAACUAUUAAAGUAAACGUGUCAAUUAACACCGACUUCUUUCCGCUUUGCUGCCGAUCACCGUUCUAUUUUUUCUGGACGCCGGAGCAUGGCGGAUAAAUUCAGCUCAGAUUAACCCGUGCUGGAAAGGAAGUCGGACACAGACACAAAAUAAAACAUCCGUCUUCUUUUCAAAAUAAAACACUCCGUGUUUCAGGAGGAUCGUAUUUCACACCAUGCAAACGGGCGGAGACGAACAAGUGAAAGGUUUUUAGACGUCAUUUCACCCCGAUGACACCAUGGAUGAGGAGAUGCUGAUUCUAGAAGUCUAGAAGUAGAUUUCCUCCUCUGGAAGGACACAAUCUACUGCUAAUAUGGUUAGCCUCUGCGGCUAAAAGACAACCUGGAAUCACUCAAUUGCACGUGAAUCUGCGAGUUCUCAUGAUUCCUUCUGUCUGUAAUCCGCCAGGAAAUUAGCCUCACAAACUGACCCGGUAGGAACUGACGGACGGAUCAGUCGUUCAGGAUGCGGUGAAAAUUGGGGGUUAAAUUCAAGAUUUAAAAAAAAAAACAGCUCAUACAAAGUGCAAGAAAAAUGCACACAGAAUGCACUAUGCAUUACUGUCCAGUAGAUGGCAGCAAGUCCAGUCUCGCAAGAAAUAUCGGUAAUAUCGCAAGCGCUCCUCCUCCAUGAGCGUAGCGGAUGGCCGCAAUUUUUUUGGCGCCAUCAUGGCUCUAUAGAAAACAACGCCAUGCCCAUGUUUAAUUCAGCCGAUGGUCACAAAGACAAACGUUUAAUCAGCUCAUCAAUAAGCGGGAAGAUUUAAGAAAUGUAUCUAUCGGAUGUUGAUGCGAACAUUUUCAAGUUUACCGCUGAUGUUGAUUUUGGUUCUCUGUAAAUUCGUCUUCCUGCAGAAAUGAGCGGACCGACUCUUCUGCAGAUUUCUGUUUUCUGACGUUUGGUUGACGUUUGCGAUCGUACAGUUUUAAUUUGCAGCGCGCUCUUCACAGCGUGUUUUAUCAUCCUUGUGCUUUUGUUGUUUUUUUGUUUAGCUCCACAACUCUCCAAACGGAUCUGUCACGUUAAAGUCAAAUCAUGUUUCUGUUGAGUUUUAUUCUCUUUUAAUCUCUGGGGCUCCAGCAUUAAUGAUAAAAAAUAGACUUUUAGUAACACAAACACUUCAUUUUUUUCCGCUUCCUGUGCAGCUCCUCGAGGCGCCGCCGUCCCUACCCUCGGACUCGAACCUCUUUGUUUACUCUGAACGAUUACCGUGUGCUGACGGCGGGCUGAGAGCGCGGGUUUCUUUCCAUUAUAAAGCGGUAAUUGCUGUGUAAUUACUCCUCCAUUGUUGUCUAAGCAGCAGAGAGACCUCUCCUGCUAAUAACAUCAGAAUAUCAAAGGUGACACGACAACGCUGCUGCUGCUGCUGCUGCUGAGCAUGAAUAUUCAGGAGGACGGAGACAGCCGAGAGCCGCUGCCGUGUUUCCUGAAAGACGAGGUUGUGACUGCAGGUCGGCGCGGGAACGUUUUAUUGAAGCUCCUGUGACCUCCUAAAGUCUGAGCAGGUUUACUCCAUCUGGUCAUGACUCACAGUUGUUAUUUAGACUUUUUAUGGAUGUCAUAUCUGUUUAUAUCAUUCUCACUUUAUCCAAUUUUCGCCUGACGAUUAUUACGACUGUGGAAUAACAGGAGAGCUUUUUUAAGGCGAUAUUUAUGGGGAACUUUAGAGUAAAAAACACCAAAAUCAGUCACUGAACGUUGUUGAACAGACUCCACACUCUUUUUGUCAUUUCAGGUCAGGGUUCAGAUCUUACCUGCUACAAAAAUCUCAGGGCGCUGAAUUUAACACGUUCUCAGAGCCCUGUGCUGUCAGGUCUGGAGUCCCCCAGGGGUCUGUUCUCGGUCCCCUUACGUUUUUAUUUUACCUCAAUCAAUCAUUCUGUAAUUACACAGCAACAACUCACAAGAAGUGCUUAAAGGGAUAUUCCGGCGUAAAAGUAAGUUAGUCACCCUCACCAGAGAUGAAUGUUGUCGACCGCUUGCUUCUCUAGUUAUACUAACUUUAGUAACAACCGCAGGAUAGAAAUACAGAGAGACACGCCCCCAACCAAAACGCCACUCUAUAGCCACAAAUAAUGCUCAGAACAGCACCUAACUUCAUCAACAGGACAUAUAGGGUCACAGACAUAGUACUAGACACCAAACAUCUCGCUCAGAGGUGUCCAUCAACUGCAGCGGGGUGCCGCAGCUCAAGGAAGAACAUUAAAGACUUUUUUUUCAUGGAAAUACAAUCAGACUGAGACGCUAAAACAGAAGAACUACCGCGUCUGCAGUACAAAAUGAUUAAUAUGGUGAUUAUUACUUCAAGGAAAUGAUAAAGAAAUGAUCAUAAAUGUUCUUCCUUGAGCUGCGGCACCCCGCUGUAGUCCAUAAUGGACUGGCCUGAGGUCUCACUACAAACGAGUGGCUGCUGGAAGAGAGUAGGUGAGUUGUGUUUAGUCUCUUUGCUAAAGAAAUGAGUCAAACUUAAAAAGAUGUAUGGGGGUGUCUAACUCGGUGUUACGGUGUGUUUGACCCUAAAUCAAUUUUACGCCGGAAUAUCCCUUUAACAAAGGAGCUGGUCUGGACCGCUCGUCCGUCCUCUGUCUCUCUGUCUUUAAGUUGUCGGUCUGAAAUCUCGCCUUCUGGACGGAGCUUUAAUUCAGACUCUGCUGCAGAGGCGUCUGCUGCACUAAUGGUGUGUGUGUGUGUGUGUGUGUGUGUGUGUGUGUGUGUGGUGGAAACGUGUUUAUUUAUGAGCUGGACACUGUUAAUUACCCGCUUGCAUGGGUAAUUAUCUCCAACUUCAAAGACAUUUUAACCCCCCGGAGACCCAGAGAGAGAGAGAGAGAGAGAGGGAGAGAGAGAGAGAGAGAGAGAGAGAGAGAGAGAGAGAGAGAGAGAGGGAGAGAGAGAGAGAGAGAGAGAGAGUGAGACUCGGCCGGCCAAAAUAUCUGCAGCUAAUUAAGAAGAAACGAUGAGUCAUCGGAAUGAUAUUCACAGAAAUAUUCAGAUAGUGAAUGAAGGACCGACAGAGGACCUAAGAGAAGACUGCAGCACCAACAGCAAACACUUUUUUAUCUGAAUGAAGAGACACACAAACAACCUCCACCUCAAUUAGAGCAUCGCUUGUUGUCAUUGGCAACCGAUGGUCAAUCCAGCUGAUUAUCAGCCGCUGAUCCGGUUUCUGUUGUGGUCCAUCACAAACCCUCGGUGUCACUUUAGACUCUUUACGACUGUGGAGACGUUUAAUCAGCGACACUUGAGGUGGAGACGUGAUAAAGAUUUUUAAAAUACAUCUUUAAAUUUUAGGAGAAUAAAAGUGGAACUAUAAUAAGGCUGAAGUCUCAAAUAUAACGAGAAUAAACAUUAAAUAUUACAAGAAAAAUAAAGAAUAAAGUUUAAAAUAUUUCCAGAAUAAAAUCAUAAAUAUUACAAGAAAAAAGUCUAAUAUAUUUAGAGAAUAGUCUUACAUAAAGUCUUAAAUAUGAUGGGAAUAAAGUUCUCACACACACACACACACACGUUCAUACUCACACUUUGAGUCGGAAGUUUGGUUCAGAUCAUUUUCUUCCACUUUAAGAAGCGAAUGAGCGGAUGGGAUCCAUUCUACGACACAACACCGGUCUUCCUCUAACCAGCCAGAAUCAGAAAAGUGAAACAACAAAUGACUUCUGUCUUCU